GGGAAGAAGAGGGAAGGCACUUGUGUCACCUUCAUUAGAGGGAGGGAGGGAGAAAGGGGCAGAACCAGCCAUUGUUGUCACCAGCAUAACCCAAGUCUCUGAUUCUGGGGGUCUGCAAUCUUGAGGUGAACUAUCCAAGGAGAGAAAAAAGGUUGGAGCUACUAUUCCAGGCGAGGUGCCCAGAUGAGACAGCAGGGGAAUUCCUGCUACCUAGAUGCUAGAGUCCCUGGGCUCUCAUCCCGGUUCCAAGCCUGGGUUUCUAGCCACUUGUCCAGUCUGUGAGCUAUCUGGAUCUCCCCUAAUAAAUUCAUGCUUUCUUAU